GUGCUCACUUUGGCAGUAUGCACACUAAAAUUGGAACGAUAUAGAGAAGAUUAGCGUGGCCCCUGUGCAAGGAUGACAUGCAAAUAGAAUGUUCAUUGUAUGUUUGU